rnacentral:rRNA from 1 species
UACGUAGGGUGCGAGCGUUUGUCCGGAAUUAUUGGGCGUAAAGGGCUCGUAGGCGGUUUGUCGCGUCGGGAGUGAAAUCCACUGGCUUAACUGGUGGCUUGCUUUCGAUAUGGGCAGACUGGAGGCAUGCAGAGGAGAGCGGAAUUCCCGGUGUAGCGGUAAUAUGCGUAGAUAUCGGGAGGAACACCAGUGGCGAAGGCGGCUCUCUGGGGUAUUUCUGACGCUGAGGCACGAAAGCCAGGGGAGCGAACGGG